rnacentral:rRNA from 1 species
CAAUACCUAUGGAUAUUGGACGUUACUCCGACAUAAAACCGCCGGCUAAUCUGUGCCAGCAGCCGCGGUAAUACAGAGGGUGCGAGCGUUGAUCGGAUUUACUGGGCGUAAAGCGUGCGUAGGCGGCUUAUUAAGUCGGAUGUGAAAUCCCCGAGCUUAACUUGGGAAUUGCAUUCGAUACUGGUGAGCUAGAGUAUGGGAGAGGAUGGUAGAAUUCCAGGUGUAGCGGUGAAAUGCGUAGAGAUCUGGAGGAAUACCGAUGGCGAAGGCAGCCAUCUGGCCUAAUACUGACGCAGAGGUACGAAAGCAUGGGGAGCAAACAGGAUUAGAUACCCUGGUAGUCCAUGCCGUAAACGAUGUCUACUAGCCGUUGGGGCCUUUGAGGCUUUAGUGGCGCAGCUAACGCGAUAAGUAGACCGCCUGGGGAGUACGGUCGCAAGACUAAAACUCAAAUGAAUUGACGGGGGCCCGCACAAGCGGUGGAGCAUGUGGUUUAAUUCGAUGCAACGCGAAGAACCUUACCUGGCCUUGACAUACUAGAAAAUUCCAGAGAUGGAUUGGUGCCUUCGGGAAUCUAGA